GACGAACGCUGGCGGCGUGCCUAAUACAUGCAAGUCGAGCGAGCGGAACCAACAGAUUUACUUCGGUAAUGACGUUGGGAAAGCGAGCGGCGGAUGGGUGAGUAACCCGUGGGGAACCUGCCCCUAAGUCUGGGAUACCAUUUGGAAACAGGUGCUAAUACCGGAUAAGAAAGCAGAUCGCAUGAUCAGCUUUUAAAAGGCGGCGUAAGCUGUCGCUAAGGGAUGGCCCCGCGGUGCAUUAGCUAGUUGGUAAGGUAACGGCUUACCAAGGCAACGAUGCAUAGCCGAGUUGAGAGACUGAUCGGCCACAUUGGGACUGAGACACGGCCCAAACUCCUACGGGAGGCAGCAGUAGGGAAUCUUCCACAAUGGACGAAAGUCUGAUGGAGCAACGCCGCGUGAGUGAAGAAGGUUUUCGGAUCGUAAAGCUCUGUUGUUGGUGAAGAAGGAGAGAGGUAGUAACUGGCCUUGAUUUGACGGUAAUCAACCAGAAAGUCACGGCUAACUACGUG
rnacentral:rRNA from 1 species